AACGAACGCUGGCGGCAUGCCUAACACAUGCAAGUCGAACGAGACCUUCGGGUCUAGUGGCGCACGGGUUCGUAACGCGUUGGAACCUGCCCUUAGGUUCGGAAUAACUCCCCGAAAGGGGUGCUAAUACCGGAUAAUGUCUUCGGACCAAAGAUUUAUCGCCUUUGGAUGGGCCCGCGUUGGAUUAGCUAGUUGGUAGGGUAAAAGCCUACCAAGGCGACGAUCCAUAGCUGGUAUGAGAGGAUGAUAAGCCACACUGGGAAUGAGAAACGGCCAAGAAUCCUACGGGAGGAAGCAGUGGGGAAUAUUGGAAAAGGGGCGAAAGCCUGAUCAAGCAAUGCCGCGUGAGUGAUGAAGGCCUUAGGGUUGUAAAGCUCUUUUAACCGGGAUGAUAAUGACAGUACCGGGAGAAUAAGCGCCGGCUAACUACGUG
rnacentral:rRNA from 1 species